UUAGAUUUAGUUUUAGUCUUAAUAUUACUUUAUAAAAAAUAUGCAUAUAAAUUUAAACUAGAUCUUAAUUAAAUUUAGUAUAAAAUAUUUUAUUAUUAAGGCAACUUAAAAAAAUUUUUUAUUUUCAAAUUUUUGUGCCAGAAGUUUCGGUUAAACAAAUAAUUUAUUUAUACCAUUUAGUUAAUAUAAAAAAUUAAAUUAAGAAAAAAUUUAUUAAUUUUUGGUAAAAUAUUAAAUAAUAAAAUAUAUUCUUUUAAAAUUAUUUUUAUUAAAUAUAUUUAAAGUACUAGGAUUAGAUACCCUACUAAAAUUUAUAAAAAAACUAAGUUAUUAAAAUUUUAGUAUUUAAAAUUAAAAGAAAUGGCAGUAUAAUAACUAAAUUAGAGAAUUUUGUUUAUAAAUUGAUAAUACACAAAACACCUUACUUUAUUUUUUGUUUAUUUAUUUCCGUUUAAAAAAUUAAUAUAAAAUUUAAUUUUAGCUAAAAUUAAAUUUUAUAAUUCAGGUCAAUAUAUAUCUUUAUAAUAAAGUUUAAAUGAAAUACAUUAAAAAAAUAUAAAAUUAAUUAUUACAUCUAAUUGUAGUAUAAAAGAGAAUUUAAAAGUAAUAAAAUUUUAGAAUAAUUUUAUGAAUAAGUUAUAUUAUAUGUACAAAUCGCCCGUCAUUCUUAUAAAUUAGACAAGUCGUAACAUAGUAAAUAUAUUGGAAAAUGUAUUUGG
rnacentral:rRNA from 1 species